rnacentral:pre_miRNA from 1 species
AUGAGCUCAGAUCAGGCAAGAUGUUGGCAUAGCUGAGGACUUUAAUAUCAGCUGUGCUGCAUGUUGCCAUCUUUGGGC